UUCUGAGCGGUCUGGGCACCGUUUCGUUGCAGCAGCAGUUGCGAAAAUUCAUAAGUAAGAAGAAGUUCUGGGAAGAACUAACAACUGAUGUUCUUCCCAAUAUAGGCAUACAGUUUGAUACAAGUGGUGCAAAACUUUUUUAUGUGUGAAUGGUUUCCAGACUAGCUUGGGCACUACCCAAUCUCCAGUGUUGGAAUCAGUCACCAUUAUACCAGAAUACGACCUGUUGGGAAUCGUAGACUCGCACAAUGCAAUAAUGUACACAUUGCCAGUAACGUUGCCCCGUGGUGACGCAACAACAGAGGAGCUGUUAGGCAACACUUUCCUGCUGUGACAUAACAGCGGCCACUGCUGCCGCUGCUAGGGUAACAGGCCAGUAAACACUCCCCCGCUGUUAUGUCACAGCGGGGAGCUGCUAGGCAACAGGCCACUAAACACUUCCCUGCUGUGACAUAACAGUGGACGCUGCUGCUGCUGCUAGGGAAACAGGCAACAGUAUAAGAAGCUAGCUGAGGACCAAGUGUGGCAGUGUGUGUUGACAGAAGCCAGUGGUUAGCCAGCAUGGAGAGACAGACAGUUCUACAUUCUAGUGAGAGUUGUUAACGCCAAAGGAGUGACUGUGAAACGACUUGUUCAGCAUUUUGUGUUAGUUACGGCAUUGAGUAAUAAAGUUACAUCACAAGAAUA